ensembl:lncRNA
GCCAGUUGCUGUGAAGCUCUGUCUUCAGCUAAGGUGACCCUCCCACAAUCCAAAACUAUAACAAAACAUUAGGCACACGAGCUGCACCUUGCUAGAACUCUUCACACCCUAUCUCUCUUCAGGAAUAUUCAUUCUCCUUCAGGCAUAAUUUUCAGGCACGUGAUUUCAUAUUUCAAAAGAAGGAAAAUUGUUUACAACACCAACAUUUCUGUUUGUUGCUUUGGCGAAGGAAGAAAUACUGAAACGUUGGCAUUCAAAUGAGUGAAAGUGAAACUUUUCAAGCAAGCAGUGUGUGGGAAUUUCUUCUUCAGAAUCGUGUUCAAUAUCCCAAUGCACCUGCAGGAAACUCUGAGUAGGUACACUAUUUACAUCCAAUUUCCACUGGAGGGGAACGGAGCGAACACAACUGGCCACAGGAAACAGGACGCCCUCUCCCCCCACUCCUUUCCUCCAGGAUGCAGCAAGGGUGCACAUUGGGAUUAUGGCGAAGCCUUGUUCCCUGUUAAGGUGGGCGGAAGAAUCUCCUCUCUCCUCUCCCCUCUUGUUGUUGUUUUCUCCACAGGAAGUCCACGAAGAGUUCCUGACAAAGGAACAACGAGGAAUGCAUGACACUUUAUGGACCCCAUAAACAUUCAUAAACGCUUGGGUUGGUAUGUCACAUUACAGUCUAUGAUAACUUGCACUUUUAGACA